GAUAAUUUCGUUUUUUCAUCCUUCAUGAAACAAGCAAAUUAUAGUGCAAGAUGACGAAACAGAGUAUAUAACUAACUGAUAUGUUUCAAUGAAACAAAUUCAAGAAAGCUAAAGAUUUGCCAAUUUUAUUUCUUUAUUGUGGGCUUCUCGCCAAGUAAUCUACACUCAACAGACACUAAGGAAAAACUUCGCAACAGAAUCAGACAUCUAAAAAUCCCGAAAAUUCACUAGGUUUCAUCGAUUGGUACGGAGUGGUCUCAUCAGCAGAAAUAUCUUUCAAGUACACUAGGCCAAGCCAACGAGCUUCUCACUGAUCUCCCACACUUUACGAGCCUUCUCAACGUCACUUGCUUCUUCUGAUAACUGGUUCUCAAAAGAAGCCGAAGCGU
rnacentral:lncRNA from 1 species